rnacentral:rRNA from 1 species
AAUAGAUACCCGGGUAGUCCACGCCGUAAACGAUGUCGACUUGGAGGUUGUUCCCUUGAGGAGUGGCUUUCGGAGCUAACGCGUUAAGUCGACCGCCUGGGGAGUACGGCCGCAAGGUUAAAACUCAAAUGAAUUGACGGGGGCCCGCACAAGCGGUGGAGCAUGUGGUUUAAUUCGAUGCAACGCGAAGAACCUUACCUACUCUUGACAUCCAGAGAACUUAGCAGAGAUGCUUUGGUGCCUUCGGGAACUCUGAGACAGGUGCUGCAUGGCUGUCGUCAGCUCGUGUUGUGAAAUGUUGGGUUAAGUCCCGCAACGAGCGCAACCCUUAUCCUUUGUUGCCAGCGGUUCGGCCGGGAACUCAAAGGAGACUGCCAGUGAUAAACUGGAGGAAGGUGGGGAUGACGUCAAGUCAUCAUGGCCCUUACGAGUAGGGCUACACACGUGCUACAAUGGCGUAUACAAAGAGAAGCGACCUCGCGAGAGCAAGCGGACCUCAUAAAGUACGUCGUAGUCCGGAUUGGAGU